rnacentral:rRNA from 1 species
UACGAAGGGGGCUGGCGUUGCUCGGAAUUACUGGGCGUAAAGGGCGCGUAGGCGGAUGUUUAAGUCAGGGGUGAAAUCCUGGAGCUCAACUCCAGAACUGCCUUUGAUACUGAAGAUCUUGAGUUCGGGAGAGGUGAGUGGAACUGCGAGUGUAGAGGUGAAAUUCGUAGAUAUUCGCAAGAACACCAGUGGCGAAGGCGGCUCACUGGCCCGAUACUGACGCUGAGGCACGAAAGCGUGGGGAGCAAACAGG